AGAAGGGAAAUGUUUAGGCAGCAUUGAGUGAUGGGACAGCUGUAAACCAAGCACAUGGCAACUCGGUCCUGUGCUGAAUCAAACUGAAGGUUAAUGUGAAGAAAACUUUGGAGUCACUUUUGCAGCCUGGCUGGAGAAAUUAGAAGAGAGUUCCUGUCACGCGUUGCGGCGCACUUGCUGCGCGGAGUUGCAACUUUGUGGAUGCACAACGACCAGUCAGCAGGAUUGCAGGGCCGAGUGUGUGGAGAGGGACCACACCACCCGGUCUCUUGGCAUCCUUAUCUCUGAGAACAUCUACUGGUCAGAGAAUACUACUGCCAUCACUAAGAAGGCUCAGCAGCGGCUGCACUUCCUGAGAGUCCUGAUGAAGUACAACCUGGACUCCAACCUGCUGCUGACCUUCUACUGCUCAUCCAUUGAGAGCCUGCUGACAUACUGCAUCACAGCGUUGCAGACAGGGAGAGGCUUCAGAGAGUGGUGCAUGUCUUUGGAAGUGGGAGGAAGCCGGAGUACCCGGAGGGAACCCACGCAUUCACGGGGAGAACAUGCAAACUUCACACAGAAAGAUCCCGAGGAACUUCGUAUUGUGAGGCAGACGCACUAACCCCUCUGCCACCGUGAAGCCCAUUUCUGGAUUGUAUAUGUGAAAAAAACAACAAAUGUUUUAAAAAAAAAAAAUAAAGGACAACAUAUGCAAAAGUCUUAAA